rnacentral:rRNA from 1 species
GAUGAACGCUGGCGGCGUGCCUAAUACAUGCAAGUCGAGCGAACGGACGAGAAGCUUGCUUCUCUGAUGUUAGCGGCGGACGGGUGAGUAACACGUGGAUAACCUACCUAUAAGACUGGGAUAACUUCGGGAAACCGUAGCUAAUACCGGAUAAUAUUUUGAACCGCAUGGUUCAAAAGUGAAAGACGGUCUUGCUGUCACUUAUAGAUGGAUCCGCGCUGCAUUAGCUAGUUGGUAAGGUAACGGCUUACCAAGGCAACGAUGCAUAGCCGACCUGAGAGGGUGAUCGGCCACACUGGAACUGAGACACGGUCCAGACUCCUACGGGAGGCAGCAGUAGGGAAUCUUCCGCAAUGGGCGAAAGCCUGACGGAGCAAUGCCGCGUGAGUGAUGAAGGUCUUCGGAUCGUAAAACUCUGUUAUUAGGGAAGAACAUAUGUGUAAGUAACUGUGCACAUCUUGACGGUACCUAAUCAGAAAGCCACGGCUAACUACGUG